rnacentral:rRNA from 1 species
GGUUAAGCGACUAAGCGUACACGGUGGAUGCCCUGGCAGUCAGAGGCGAUGAAGGACGUGCUAAUCUGCGAUAAGCGUCGGUAAGGUGAUAUGAACCGUUAUAACCGGCGAUUUCCGAAUGGGGAAACCCAGUGUGUUUCGACACACUAUCAUUAACUGAAUCCAUAGGUUAAUGAGGCGAACCGGGGGAACUGAAACAUCUAAGUACCCCGAGGAAAAGAAAUCAACCGAGAUUCCCCCAGUAGCGGCGAGCGAACGGGGAGGAGCCCAGAGCCUGAAUCAGUGUGUGUGUUAGUGGAAGCGUCUGGAAAGGCGCGCGAUACAGGGUGACAGCCCCGUACACAAAAAUGCACAUAUUGUGAGCUCGAUGAGUAGGGCGGGACACGUGGUAUCCUGUCUGAAUAUGGGGGGACCAUCCUCCAAGGCUAAAUACUCCUGACUGACCGAUAGUGAACCAGUACCGUGAGGGAAAGGCGAAAAGAACCCCGGCGAGGGGAGUGAAAAAGAACCUGAAACCGUGUACGUACAAGCAGUGGGAGCACGCUUAGGCGUGUGACUGCGUACCUUUUGUAUAAUGGGUCAGCGACUUAUAUUCUGUAGCAAGGUUAACCGAAUAGGGGAGCCGAAGGGAAACCGAGUCUUAACUGGGCGUUAAGUUGCAGGGUAUAGACCCGAAACCCGGUGAUCUAGCCAUGGGCAGGUUGAAGGUUGGGUAACACUAACUGGAGGACCGAACCGACUAAUGUUGAAAAAUUAGCGGAUGACUUGUGGCUGGGGGUGAAAGGCCAAUCAAACCGGGAGAUAGCUGGUUCUCCCCGAAAGCUAUUUAGGUAGCGCCUCGUGAAUUCAUCUCCGGGGGUAGAGCACUGUUUCGGCAAGGGGGUCAUCCCGACUUACCAACCCGAUGCAAACUGCGAAUACCGGAGAAUGUUAUCACGGGAGACACACGGCGGGUGCUAACGUCCGUCGUGAAGAGGGAAACAACCCAGACCGCCAGCUAAGGUCCCAAAGUCAUGGUUAAGUGGGAAACGAUGUGGGAAGGCCCAGACAGCCAGGAUGUUGGCUUAGAAGCAGCCAUCAUUUAAAGAAAGCGUAAUAGCUCACUGGUCGAGUCGGCCUGCGCGGAAGAUGUAACGGGGCUAAACCAUGCACCGAAGCUGCGGCAGCGACGCUGAUGCGUUGUUGGGUAGGGGAGCGUUCUGUAAGCCUGCGAAGGUGUGCUGUGAGGCAUGCUGGAGGUAUCAGAAGUGCGAAUGCUGACAUAAGUAACGAUAAAGCGGGUGAAAAGCCCGCUCGCCGGAAGACCAAGGGUUCCUGUCCAACGUUAAUCGGGGCAGGGUGAGUCGACCCCUAAGGCGAGGCCGAAAGGCGUAGUCGAUGGGAAACAGGUUAAUAUUCCUGUACUUGGUGUUACUGCGAAGGGGGGACGGAGAAGGCUAUGUUGGCCGGGCGACGGUUGUCCCGGUUUAAGCGUGUAGGCUGGUUUUCCAGGCAAAUCCGGAAAAUCAAGGCUGAGGCGUGAUGACGAGGCACUACGGUGCUGAAGCAACAAAUGCCCUGCUUCCAGGAAAAGCCUCUAAGCAUCAGGUAACAUCAAAUCGUACCCCAAACCGACACAGGUGGUCAGGUAGAGAAUACCAAGGCGCUUGAGAGAACUCGGGUGAAGGAACUAGGCAAAAUGGUGCCGUAACUUCGGGAGAAGGCACGCUGAUAUGUAGGUGAGGUCCCUCGCGGAUGGAGCUGAAAUCAGUCGAAGAUACCAGCUGGCUGCAACUGUUUAUUAAAAACACAGCACUGUGCAAACACGAAAGUGGACGUAUACGGUGUGACGCCUGCCCGGUGCCGGAAGGUUAAUUGAUGGGGUUAGCGCAAGCGAAGCUCUUGAUCGAAGCCCCGGUAAACGGCGGCCGUAACUAUAACGGUCCUAAGGUAGCGAAAUUCCUUGUCGGGUAAGUUCCGACCUGCACGAAUGGCGUAAUGAUGGCCAGGCUGUCUCCACCCGAGACUCAGUGAAAUUGAACUCGCUGUGAAGAUGCAGUGUACCCGCGGCAAGACGGAAAGACCCCGUGAACCUUUACUAUAGCUUGACACUGAACAUUGAGCCUUGAUGUGUAGGAUAGGUGGGAGGCUUAGAAGUGUGGACGCCAGUCUGCAUGGAGCCGACCUUGAAAUACCACCCUUUAAUGUUUGAUGUUCUAACGUUGACCCGUAAUCCGGGUUGCGGACAGUGUCUGGUGGGUAGUUUGACUGGGGCGGUCUCCUCCUAAAGAGUAACGGAGGAGCACGAAGGUUGGCUAAUCCUGGUCGGACAUCAGGAGGUUAGUGCAAUGGCAUAAGCCAGCUUGACUGCGAGCGUGACGGCGCGAGCAGGUGCGAAAGCAGGUCAUAGUGAUCCGGUGGUUCUGAAUGGAAGGGCCAUCGCUCAACGGAUAAAAGGUACUCCGGGGAUAACAGGCUGAUACCGCCCAAGAGUUCAUAUCGACGGCGGUGUUUGGCACCUCGAUGUCGGCUCAUCACAUCCUGGGGCUGAAGUAGGUCCCAAGGGUAUGGCUGUUCGCCAUUUAAAGUGGUACGCGAGCUGGGUUUAGAACGUCGUGAGACAGUUCGGUCCCUAUCUGCCGUGGGCGCUGGAGAACUGAGGGGGGCUGCUCCUAGUACGAGAGGACCGGAGUGGACGCAUCACUGGUGUUCGGGUUGUCAUGCCAAUGGCACUGCCCGGUAGCUAAAUGCGGAAGAGAUAAGUGCUGAAAGCAUCUAAGCACGAAACUUGCCCCGAGAUGAGUUCUCCCUGACCCUUUAAGGGUCCUGAAGGAACGUUGAAGACGACGACGUUGAUAGGCCGGGUGUGUAAGCGCAGCGAUGCGUUGAGCUAACCGGUACUAAUGAACCGUGAGGCUUAACCUU